rnacentral:lncRNA from 1 species
GCUGAGUCUCAGCAAUAAAAGUGAUGAAAAACUUUUUAAAUCAUAAAAGAUAGUAGAUUUUAUUCUCUACUUGACUCUUUUAAUGGAUUGCUUGGCCGCUGCAGUUAAACUUGAUGUCUAUUGUAUUUUAUCAGUUUAACAUUGUUGGAGACUAAUGAUAAUUUAUUCUGUAUUAUCUUAGUCAUAAUAUUUCUUGCUGGGCUAGUUGAGCUCACCCUUUCUUUUACUGUUCUCUUCAAGAAAUGAGAACGUAGCUGGGACAAGUCG